CCAUGCCUUAUAGUGACCUUUAGCAGAUUAAAGCUAGGCAAAUAAUAUAGAUUACAUUUUGUGACAAUAUAAACAAUCACAGAGCCUAUGAUGAGUUUUGCAGAUGAGUUUACCUGUUCGGUGUGAUGAUGUUUAAUGUCAUCAACCUCUUUAGUCCCAUUUAGACAGUUGUUAUCAACUGCCUUUUUUAAGACAAGUAUAAAAAAAAAUCACAAGUGAGUAUUACUAAUGUAUUUUAUAAAACGGGAAAAUAUCUUGAGCUUGUGUUAACCACAGAAAAAAGCCCAUUUAAAAACAAACUGAUUCUGGGAUCUAACGUAAAAAACAGAAUCUAAAGUAAAAAAAAAAAGUUAAUCGCUGAUGUUAACAAAUGACCCAUAAUAUCUGUGAGAUGCACAUGUUUGUGUGUGUUGUAGGUGAGCUCUCUGGGUUGGUUGGAGAGGAAAACUGCUGCCACGCUUUAUGAGACUCCUCCCACAUCCUCACUGAAUGAAGCUCUGGAGAACUUCCUCAAGGCAGAGGAGUUAAAUCCAGGCUUCUCCAAAACAGUUCGCCUUUAUAUCGCCAAGUGUCAUAAGGAGCUAGGAAACAUGUCAGAGGCCAGAAAUUGGGUCCAAUUAGCUCUGAGCACACCAGCAGGAGCAAAUGAGGAUUCUGACAGCGCAGCUUUACAGGAGGAGCUGAAGGCUUUGAUUGACAGUACAACUGACCAAUCGAAGCAGUAUGAAUAAUUAGGGUGGGGUCUAAUGCUGUCAUCUAAUCUUUUUACAUUUUACCUGGUAUGUGCUCUAUUUAUUUAAUGUUGUUUGCAGAUGUGCAUUGUUAAAACAUAUUUUCAGUAAUCUCAAAAAAAAAAAAUCGAAAUAUUAUAUAUUAAAAUAGUUUACUAUUGUUCACAUAUCUCCUUCACAAAACACUGCAUUUCAUUCCUUACAAAAGAUGAAGGUAACUUGAUGAUUAAUGAUCAAAAAUCAUUCCUAAUUUUUAUAUUUAAACAUGCUGUGAAAUUAAGCAUUUAUUUGUUUAAUCAAUUACAAAAUGACUGACGUUUGAUUUUGUUUUGACAUGAAGUGAAUUCCUGAAAUAUGACAAUAAAAUGGCACAAUUA